UAGGAGUUGGAAUAGGAGCUUGCUCCG
rnacentral:piRNA from 2 species